rnacentral:rRNA from 1 species
UAAGGAAUAUUGGACAAUGGAGGCAACUCUGAUCCAGCCAUGCCGCGUGAAGGAAUAAGGCCCUAUGGGUUGUAAACUUCUUUUAGACGGGACAAAACCCCUUUACGUGUAAAGGGUUGAUGGUACUGUCAGAAUAAGCAUCGGCUAACUUCGUGCCAGCAGCCGCGGUAAUACGAAGGAUGCAAGCGUUAUCCGGAAUUAUUGGGUUUAAAGGGUGCGUAGGCGGACUAAUAAGUCAGUGGUGAAAGCCUGCAGCUUAACUGCAGAUUUGCCAUUGAUACUGUUAGUCUUGAGUACAGUGGAGGUAGGCGUAAUGUUUCAUGUAGCGGUGAAAUGCUUAGAUAUGACACAGAACACCGAUUGCGAAGGCAGCUUGCCAAGCUGUAACUGACGCUGAGGCACGAAAGCGUGGGGAGCAAACA